rnacentral:lncRNA from 1 species
CCAGACAUACGAACAUAGCAGACACUCAUAUAGCAAUAGUAUAUAGUGUCCUAAAUACAUUCAGUAGCAAAACUAAAUAAAAUUAAAACUUCAACUCGUCAAUUGUAUUCAUGCUUCAUAUUAUCAACUUAAAAUAGCCAGUGUUAUCAAAACUUCAAACUUCCAUUUUUAUAUGUAUUCAUGCUUCUACAUUUUUUCGGCUUACAAUAGCGAGGGUUAUAGUCGUGUACCUGGUAUUUAGAAAGCAAAGAAGAGGAAGAAGUCAGUAGUGCAGCAGUAGAACAACACAUCAACAACAGGUUCAACAACCAAAGCAGUAAGCCAGUAACCAAACAGUACAGGAAGAACUCAUGAAUAAAUUUAAAGACCAAGUAGAAAAUCCAACAAUAACCAGUGAAUUAGUAACAGUACUAGUUCUGAGCAGCUAAGGAAAGACCUCAUGAAUUCUUAAGUUCUG